rnacentral:rRNA from 1 species
CAACCCUAAAUACUACCCAGUGACCGAUAGCGUAUAGUACUGUGAAGGAAAGGUGAAAAGCACCCCGGGAGGGGAGUGAAAAAGAACCUGAAACCCUGUGCCUACAAGCACCUAGAGCGCGUCAAAGCGUGAUAGGGUACUUUUUGUAGAACGGUCCGGCGAGCGAUUGUAUGCAGCAAGGUUAAGGACUUAAGGUCUGGAGCCGAAGCGAAAGCGAGUUUGAAAAGGGCGUUAAGUUGCAUACAAUGGGCCCGAAACCGGGUGACCUACCCAUGGUCAGGUUGAAGUGGAAGUAAAAUUCCAUGGAGGACCGAACCGACCUCCGUUGAAAAGGCGGCGGAUGAACUGUGGGUAGCGGAGAAAUUCCAAUCGAACCCGGAGAUAGCUGGUUCUCCCCGAAAUAGUUUUAGGACUAGCCUCAAGUUAGAUACCUGGAGGUAAAGCACUGAAUAGCCUAGCGGCCGAGAGGUUAGCGAAGCUUAUCAAACUCAGAAUGCCAGAGUAUUGAUGCUUGGGAGUCAGACAGUGUCAGAUAAAUGUCAUUGUCAAAAGGGAAACAGCCCAGAUCUACAGCUAAGGUCCCAAAGUCAGGUUAAGUGGAAAACGAUGUGAAGAUACGUAGACAACCAGGAUGUUGGCUCAGAAGCAGCCACUCAUUCAAAGAGUGCGUAAUAGCUCACUGGUCGAGCGUCUUUGCGCGGAGAAUUUAACGGGGCUAAACCUGACACCGAAGCUUAGGCAAUACAGCAAUGUAUUGGGUAGGGGAGCGUUGUAUACGCGGUGAAACAGUAGCGCAAGCGGCUGUGGAGUGUAUAGAAGUGAGAAUGCCGGAAUGAGUAGCGCGAAUGCAGUGAGAAUCUGCAUGGCCGAAAGCCUCAGGUUUCUGGAGGAAGGUUCGUCCGCUCCAGGUCAGUCGGGAGCUAAGGUGAGGCCUAACGGCGUAGCCGAUGCACAGACGGUAGAGAUUCCGUCACCACCAAAAGAGUUAAACACAGGGACACAUAUGAAGUCUCGGAGCCGGGUGUUGGUUCCGGUAGCGAUCGAGGGAAGUUAGUACCGAAGUCCGGGAUGGAAGAUGGCGAGAAAAGCUGUGUGUAUUUCUGCGGUGCCCGUACCGCAAACCGACACAGGUAGGUAGGAAGAAGAUUCUAAGGCCAACGGGAGAAGGGUUGUUAAGGAACUCGGCAAAUUGACCCCGUAACUUCGGGAGAAGGGGUGCUGCAGCAAUGCAGCCGCAGAGAAUCGGCCCAAGCAACUGUUUACCAAAAACACAGGUUUGUGCUAAAUCGAAAGAUGACGUAUACGAGCUGACGCCUGCCCGGUGCUGGAAGGUUAAGAGGAGAUGUGCAAGCAUUGAAUCGAAGCCCCAGUGAACGGCGGCCGUAACUAUAACGGUCCUAAGGUAGCGAAAUUCCUUGUCAGGUAAGUUCUGACCCGCAUGAAAGGCGUAAUGAUUUGGGCACUGUCUCAACAGCCCGCCCGGCGAAAUUGUAGUACCGGUGAAGAUGCCGGUUACCCGCGACAAGACGGAAAGACCCCAUGGAGCUUUACUGUAGCCUAAUAUUGGGUUUCGAUGUUGCAUGCACAGGAUAGAUGGGACACAGGGAAGCAGGUGCUUUGGCGCUUGUGGAGUGGCCGUUGGGAUACCAUCCUUGCGAUAUUGGAAUUCUAACCUGCGCCUUUGAAUCAAGGCGGGGGACAUUGUUAGGUGGGCAGUUUGACUGGGGCGGUCGCCUCCUAAAGAGUAACGGAGGCGUUCAAAGGUUCGCUCAGCUUGAACGGAAAUCAAGCAAAAGAGUGCAAACGCAGAAGCGAGCCUAACUGCGAGACUGACGGGUCGAGCAGUAACGAAAGUUGGAGUUAGUGAUCCGGUGGUAUGUGAGUGGAAAUGCCAUCGCUCAACGGAUAAAAGUUACCCUGGGGAUAACAGGCUGAUCUCCCCCAAGAGUCCACAUCGACGGGGAGGUUUGGCACCUCGAUGUCGGCUCAU